rnacentral:lncRNA from 1 species
GGACAGAUCCCUGCCGAGGGAUGGACCCGACCCGACCCGAGCUGUCCUGAGGGGCGGCCCCGGGAGGGGCAGCUCGGUCCGGUCCGGUCCGGUCCGGCGGUGCGGGCGCUGCGGGACGGAGCCGCGCUCUCGGCCGAGUUGUAGAAGGAACAUGAAGCCUGCCAUAGAGGCAGAAGGUCAGUAG